rnacentral:lncRNA from 1 species
UUUCCCUUCCCCUCACUCGCCCCCAUCUCCCUCUGCCCCGCUCACACCCGCCGCCGUCCGCGACCCCCAUGGCCGCACCGCCGUGAAGCUUGCGGCCACAGUCGACCCCGGCAACUAGGAGCUUGACCAUCGGCCUCGUCAUCCUCGUCUACAUCGUCCCCGCCUCUGGAUCGAGGCCAAAACGCUGCCUCGCCGUCGCUAGCCUCCUGCAUCUCCAUCACGCCCGCCGCGUUUCGCCGUUCACCUGCGCAUCCUCGACCAGCCACGGCCGCCCCGAGCACGCCAUCGAGCUCCGCGGUGAGCACCGUGCCGAUUUCCCUAUUUUCCCCUGCCUCCCGUUGUCGUAGCCGUCAUGCCUACCCAUGGCUGCCAUGGACGAAGAUCGCCGUUGCCGCGGCCAGAGCCCGCGCCCAGGUCGCGCCCCGGCCUUCCGCUGUCCGCGCUCGGCCGCGCCCCCGCAGCGCUCGUUCCUGCCUUGGUGUUGCCCUGUGCCGUGCGCUGCUGCUCGCCAUCAGCUGCUUUCCGCUGGCCCCUGGCUGCGACUGCUACUUGCUUUUGCCUGCUGCUGUUGUCGCCAUCCCUGCCCGCGCCCGCCUGAGCGGCUGCGCCGGGCCACGGCUGCUCCCGUACGUGCCUGCCGCUGCUGGCUUCGGCAGCGCUCGUGCGUGCACACCAGCCAUGGCUGAGCGCCCGUGCUAGUGUGUGCGUUAUGGGCGUGCGUGAUGUGUGUGCGUAUGAGUAGGGCCGGCCUGUGUGUGCGUAUGAGUAGAGCCGGCCCUCUCUUUAGAUUAGGGGCUAAUCCCUUUUUAAGCUAAUCCUCUGUUAGUUUAAUUUAAUUGCAGGUCUAGUUUAGUAGUACCAAAUGACAUGUGGGUCCCCUUUAAUUAAGUUAAAUAAAUUAUUUUAGAAUUUUAAUAAAACACUGACGUGUGGGACCCCUAGGCCCAUUGACCAGUCAACGGGUCAACGUUGAUUGCUGACUGGGCAGUCAACGGGCCCACUGUCAUCAUCUGGUGCGCUGCACCGGGUGCACCUAGCAAUUUCCUGUUUAUUUUUCGAAUUAGUAAUAAUUUCAAAAAAUUCAGAAAAUGUUUAAAUCUUUGAAAAAUCGUAGAAAAAUAACCCUAGCUCGGAUCGAAAACCUUUAUACAUGAAAAUUCCUCAGAAAAAUCCAACGAAUCCGAAUACGAGGUCCGUUUUCCUGUCAGAUGCCUCUAACUAUCUGAACAUGGAACAUUGCCCCUCCGGUCAUCUGUCUGACACAGGUCCGGAACCGGGAAUACCUUCCCAGUUGAAUUCCCCCUUCAUCUGUUUCGUGCAGCACUACGUUAGAACAUUCAUAGUGCUGCGUAUUGCCAUGUUAUGCCUUGUGAUGCUUUGUUUGCUCUGUAUUUACUGUUUCUCCCACCUCUUCUCUUUAGUCGACCCUGUGGCGGCUGCCGAUACUGCUGUGAUCGACUACGUCAAUGACGACCCCUCCUUGUCUGAGCAAUCAGGCAAGCCCCCCUUUGAUCAUCCCGAUAUCGCCCAUUCCAUUCUCUCAUGCUUGCAUUAGAUUUUGCUACUGUAUUUGAUUGCUCCUAUUCUGAUGCAUAGCCUGCUUUUGUAACCUGUUUAUUAUUACCUACCUGGUUAUCCUAAACUGCUUAGUAUAGGUUGGUUAGUGAUCCAUCAGUGACCCCCACCUUGUCCCAGUUGCCUCGCUUUAUGUUUGAUGACUCGAUCAACGUGAUCGACGUUCAGGCCCUGACACCGCACAUCACCUCCCCUAGUUGUACGACUCUACAGAGUUACCAUCGAGUGCCGAGGGUGAAAACUCUUACAUCACUCUUGAUGAGAUCUCUGUAGUGUAGCUAUUCGGUCGUGGUCAUCGAGGGUGAUUUCCUCCUUAACCACUUCCGAUACGGCUUUGUCGUGCAACCCCUCAAGUGUGAACCUCGAGGGUGGAUCCUCUUAUGUUCACCUUGGUGAUUACAUCGAGUGGAAUUCACCGGGGGUAAUUCCUCGGGUUUUCCCCUUGGUGUUAGACACACUGUUACUAUGGUGACUAUGACUUACACUGAACCAUGUUACUAAAGACGGGUCGGCCUUGAGGGGUACCCGCGCGAGCUUAUUUGCGAGUGAUGUGGAGUCGGGUUGACCUGGAAGGUGCCCGUGAGAUUCUUACGAGGCGUGGCCGGGCAUUAUUAGCCCUUGCCACAAGUCCUCGAGACGGGGCGACGGGGUCACAUCUUUCGUGAGUCUCUACUUGUUACUGCGUACUCCUAAUCCACUACAAUUUGGAUAUUUGAUCUGAGGGGCCUCUGGCCUGAUAGCACUAACCAUCACGUGGGCAUAGUAUGGGCGUUCUGCAUCGUAUCCAUCAGCCGAAGUUUAAUAGAUGUCAGCGACUGAGCGGCGCGCGCCGGGUUGGACUGCGUAAGCUCCUGCCUUGUUUAAGAAGGUAGCUAGGUCUGCUCAUCGACCGCGUACGCAAUGUGCAGGAGUUCCCGGGGAGAUGGCCCAUGACCCCUGGGGGCAUAGGCUUAGUCCGGCGUGCGGACCUCUCUAUUAAGCCUAGGUCGGGUUGUGGCGUAUUGUUUGGCCGAGGCCGGGCAUGACCCAGGAAAGUGUGUCCGGCCGAAGUUAAUCGAGCGUGGUGGGUAAGUUGGUGCACCCCUGCAGGGAAGAAAACAUCUAUCGAUAGCCUAUCCUAUGGUAACGGACACUUAGAGUUGUAUCCCGAUCGAUACAACUAGAACUGAAUACUGAGAUGAGAAAUGAAUUGUGAUGAGAAAUGGAUAGUAUGGCUCUGGGAUUGCUUUCUCGCAGGGAGUCGAGAAAGGAUCUCUGGCCGAGGUUGAUAACACUACUACUACUUUACUUUAUGCUACUCUACUCCCUCCUGUUGCUGCAAGUUUGUGGUUUCCAAAAGAUGCUAGUCUUCGAUAGGACUAGCUUCUCCCCCUCUUAUUCUAGCAUUUCUGCAGCCCAGUCCAUAUAUACAGCCUUCCUUUGAUGAUGUUGCAUAUGUAGUGUAGAUCCUUGCAUGCUGAGUACUUCGGAUGAGUACUCACGGUUGCUUUACUUCCUCUCCCCCCUUUUUCCAUUCUUCUCGGAUGUCGCAGCCAGAUGGUGGAGCCAAGAAUCCAGACGCCACCUUCGACGACGACUACUACUACACUAAGGGUGCCUACUACUACAUGGAGGCCGCCAACGACCAGGAGUAGUUAGGAGGCUUCCGGGCAGGAGGCCUUACCUUUUCGAUCGUAGUUGCUUUUGUGCUAGCCUUCUUAAGGCAAAUUGGUUUAACUUAUGUCUGUACUCAGAUAUUGUUGCUUCUGCUGACUCGUUUGUAUUCGAGCUUAUGUAUUCGAGCCCUCGAGGCCUCUGGCUUGUAAUAUAAAGCUUGUAUUAUUUUAAUUUGUAUCUAGAGUUGUGUUGUGAUAUCUUCCCGUAAGUCCUCGAUCUUGCUCGUACACUUUUGCAUGUAUGAUUAGUGUAUGAUUGAAUCGGGGGCGUCACAAGUUGGUAUCAGAGCCGACUGCCUAUAGAUAGCCCCCUUUUCAACUCCUUGGACGAAGUUGAGUCU